CACGAGUCCCUCACCCAGUGCCCGCGGCCACCACACCAGGAGGCCACAGGUGCCUGCGCACCGCGGGUGGGAGCCCGGGCGGGCCCGGACACUUCCCCGCCACCGCAGCAUCUCCUCCGCGCCUCCAGUGCCACGUGGAGCCCGAGGGCACGACCGGCACCCACGGCCAGCUUCGCCCGCGGCUUCUCCCCGAGACCUCGCGUCUCCCGAGCGGACACUGCUGCCUCCGCCUCAGGAACGCCACUGGCCCCGCCACCCCCGCCCAGCACUUACUGCCCGUGUGCACCCAGAACGGCACCGUGCCGUCCGCCUGGAUCAGCGAAGGCCGCAAUUCCACAGGCUCUUUUCAGUUCAUUUGCAGAGUAGUCGGAAGUCCCGCAGGAAAAUCCACACUGUUUCUCCCAACAUGCGAGGCCAACCUUACGCAAAGGGAGAAAUGAGCAGGACAAAUCCUGAGGCUUCCCUUGCUCCAGGGCCAAAGCUCUUCUUUGGAGUUCUUCUGGAGAAUGGCAGGGCUGGUCCCACCUGAAGAGGGGCAUUUCCUGCAGGAGAGGAGCUGUGCCUGCAGCGUCCUGCCCCUGGCAUGCAGCGUGCCAAUCACACAUCCCGGGAUGGACGCUGGGGCGCUUGGAUACUGCUGGCACAGAGGCCGCUAAAGGGCUGCUCUGAACAGACACGUGGAGAUGCUUCAGCCUGGACAAAGGCCACAGACAGCCCAAAAGCAAGGAACAGCUGACAUUACAUAGCGAUGGUGGCAUGGGCUGUUUGCAGAGGGGCUCAGACAGCAACUCCUGCUUCUGAGCAUCCACAACGGCUGCCAGAUGUGCCCCGGCCACCCCAAAUCCCCUUCCUACCAGCUGGGGGACAUCAUCCAUCAGCAGCAUUAAAGCCAAGGUUAAGAUGGGCACAGCUCUAAGUGGCCGAUAGCUUGGGGUUCAUCUCAGAAGGAGAGACUUCAUUUGGGGUUACAGAGAAGACGUGCCUUCCCUGCAGGGAGCAGUAAAGAAAAUCCACAGCCUCUUGAAGAGGCUUAAAUGUGAGUAAGUUUUUGUAGCCACUGAUGCUGUUGAGGAAGAGAUUGAACUGCUCAAGAAACUGCUGCCCGAGAUGGUGAGGUUUGAAGCCUCUCUGGAGGAGCUGGAAC